rnacentral:rRNA from 1 species
CAGUUUUGGCGGAGCCAUCCUUGGGAUACCACCCUUGUAGUACUGGGACUCUAACCAUAGGCCAUGAAUCUGGUCUUGGGACACUGUCAGGUGGGCAGUUUGACUGGGGCGGUCGCCUCCCAAAAGGUAACGGAGGCGCUCAAAGGUUCUCUCAGUACGGUCGGAAAUCGUACGUAGAGUGUAAAGGCAAAAGAGAGCUUGAUUGCAAGACAUACAGGUCGAGCAAGGAUGAAAAUCGGACUUAGUGAUCCGGUGGUUCUGCGUGGAAGGGCCAUCGCUCAACGGAUAAAAGCUACCCUGGGGAUAACAGGCUUAUCUCCCCCAAGAGUCCACAUCGACGGGGAGGUUUGGCACCUCGAUGUCGGCUCAUCACAUCCUGGGGCUGUAGUAGGUCCCAAGGGUUGGGCUGUUCGCCCAUUAAAGUGGUACGCGAGCUGGGUUCAGAACGUCGGGAGACAGUUCGGUCCCUAUCCGUCGCAGGCGUAGGAAAUUUGAGAAGACCUGUCCUUAGUACGAGAGGACCGGGAUGGACGUACCUCUGGUGUACCAGUUGU